CAAAGUUACCAGAGGGAUUUAAAGUGCCCUGAAAACAUAAGUUGUGAGUGUUUGUUUCCUUUGGACAGCUCUUGCAGUCUGAAUUCUGUGUGAAAUGUGAAACCCUGAUGAAAUAUUAAGGACUCUUGGAGAGAGGACACACCACAGUCGCUGCAGGUGGGUUGCUGAGCUGGCCAUUCAGAAGGGGCCAGCCCUCAUCUGCCAAUGCAUGGAGAUAUGGGUAACCUAAGACCUGCAAUUAAGAGAGCAAAAAGGAAGUGAGAAUAAAUUAACAAGAGCAGAGGUUAAAUUAAGAUAACCAGUGUCACUGAAUGGAACCACCUGAAAAUUCAUAAAUACCAGAAAACAUCCUGCUGCCAGAGGGAGGGAGUAAUUUUGACAGCCAGUUUCUGGCUGAUAUUCUCAGUUUUGGGGCUUCACUAUCAGGAGGAACACACAGCAGGGGCUCAGCACUGCGACCUGGGGGAAACAAGGAAAGGGGCUGCUGAUGGAUCACUCCUGAGAUCUCUCCCA
rnacentral:lncRNA from 1 species